rnacentral:miRNA from 1 species
AAGGAGCCUCAGUUGAAGAAAUCCAUGAGAUCCAGCUGUAAGGCAUUUUCUCAAUUAGUGAUCAUUGGAGGCAGGCCUAGCUCUGAGCAUGGUGGUAUUGGGUUCUAUAAGAAAUCAG